AACAAGGUUUCCGUAGGUGAACCUGCGGAAGGAUCAUUACUCAGCGAUCCCCCG
rnacentral:rRNA from 1 species